AUUGAAUGCUGGCGGCAGGCCUAACACAUGCAAGUCGAGCGGAUGAAGGGAGCUUGCUCCUGGAUUCAGCGGCGGACGGGUGAGUAAUGCCUAGGAAUCUGCCUGGUAGUGGGGGAUAACGUCCGGAAACGGGCGCUAAUACCGCAUACGUCCUGAGGGAGAAAGUGGGGGAUCUUCGGACCUCACGCUAUCAGAUGAGCCUAGGUCGGAUUAGCUAGUUGGUGGGGUAAAGGCCUACCAAGGCGACGAUCCGUAACUGGUCUGAGAGGAUGAUCAGUCACACUGGAACUGAGACACGGUCCAGACUCCUACGGGAGGCAGCAGUGGGGAAUAUUGGACAAUGGGCGAAAGCCUGAUCCAGCCAUGCCGCGUGUAUGAAGAAGGUCUUCGGAUUGUAAAGCACUUUAAGUUGGGAGGAAGGGCAGUAAGUUAAUACCUUGCUGUUUUGACGUUACCAACAGAAUAAGCACCGGCUAACUUCGUG
rnacentral:rRNA from 1 species